AAAUACUUAUGAUGAUAGCAUCCAUGCACCACUCUUAAGGCAUUACCGGUCAAGUGCAGAUUAUGGAUUUUCUGAACUAUU